UACGAAGGUGGCAAGCGUUGUUCGGAAUCACUGGGCAUAAAGCGCGUGUAGGCGGCCGAGUCAGUCGGGUGUGAAAUCCCCCAGCCUAACUGGGGAACUGCGCCCGAUACUGCUUGGCUUGAGGCUUGGAGGGGAGAGCGGAAUUCCCGGUGGAGCGGUGAAAUGCGUAGAUAUCGGGAGGAACUCCGGUGGCGAAGGCGGCUCUCUGGACAAGUACUGACGCUGAGACGCGAAAGCUAGGGGAGCAAACGGG
rnacentral:rRNA from 1 species